UAUUAUUUUCCAAAUUUUCAAGUUUUCCAUUUUUUGAUUUUCAAGAAAAAAUUGUAAAAAUAUUUUGAAGAUAGUGGAAAUUUAUAUUAAAGUUAUGGGAACUUAUAUUUGGUUUUAAUAAUUUAUUGAUUUUAAUUUUAUAAGUGUUGGAAAGGCCUCUCUCAUGUAGAGAGGUCAUCUGGUUUUCUUUUGAGGGUUUAUCUUUUUUCUUUAAGAGUUAUUUCCUGAAGGUCUUCCUCUGCCUCUUCUAGGUGGACGGAGACCUUUCUUCAUCCGAUAGUAGAUUGUAUCCUCUCUUCAUUUAGUGGAAUUAUACAUAUUUUUUGUUCUUUCCUGCUUUUGUAGAGGACUUGCCUUUGCUUUUUUUCUUCUUUGGUUGUUGCGAUUUCUUUUGGAUUUGCAAGUGAAGGAUCGCUUGGUCUCCGGUCCAACCCUUUCCCUCAAUCCAGUGAAAGGUGGUCAGCUAGUAGCUAAAGGAGUAUCCUCAGAGAGCGCACUAUCAGCAUCUCAGCUUGCCGUUUGAGAUGAGUUCGGUUCCUUCCACUGACUCUGAAGGAGAUAGUUGAGGUGAGGUUGAGAAAGUUUCUCUUCUCUUAUAUUUGAUGGGCCUUAAUCCUUGAUUUUUUAUUAUAUGGGCUUUUUUUUUUUAUAUCCAAACCUUGUGCCUUGAAUGCUAAUGAAAUCUAUUAUCUUUAAUUAAAAAAUAUUUAAUUUUAUAAUUUAUUACUUCUGGUUUCUUCUUAAUGUUAUUAGGUGAUUCCAGCAUACUAUCUUCUUCCAUUUUAGCAGGAUUGGGAACCGUCUUGAGUCUUUGCUUUAUGAAUUUGAACAAAUU
rnacentral:lncRNA from 1 species